CAGUAGGGAAUCUUCCACAAUGGGCGAAAGCCUGAUGGAGCAACGCCGCGUGUGUGAUGAAGGGUUCCGGCUCGUAAAACACUGUUGUAAGAGAAGAAUGACAUUGAGAGUAACUGUUCAAUGUGUGACGGUAUCUUACCAGAAAGGAACGGCUAAAUACGUACCAG
rnacentral:rRNA from 1 species